rnacentral:rRNA from 1 species
UCAGUGAUCAGAAGUGAGAAUGUUGACAUGAGUAGCGACAAACAGGGUGAGAGACCCUGUCGCCGAAAGUCCAAGGGUUCCUGCUUAAAGCUAAUCUGAGCAGGGUAAGCCGGCCCCUAAGGCGAGGCCGAAAGGCGUAGUCGAUGGGAACCAGGUUAAUAUUCCUGGGCCAGGAGAUGGUGACGGAUCACAGAGGUAGUUCAUCCUUAUCGGAUUGAAUGGGCUGCUGAGUGGUUCCUGGAAAUAGCCCUCCACAAGACCGUACCCUAAACCGACACAGGUGGACUGGUAGAGAAUACCAAGGCGCUUGAGAGAACCACAUUUAAGGAACUCGGCAAAAUACCUCCGUAAGUUCGCGAGAAGGAGGCCCCGUUUGUACGCAAGUAUGGGCGGGGGGCACAAACCAGGGGGUGGCGACUGUUUACUAAAAACACAGGGCUCUGCGAAGCCGUAAGGCGACGUAUAGGGUCUGACGCCUGCCCGGUGCCGGAAGGUUAAAAGGAGAUGUGCAAGCAUUGAAUUGAAGCCCCGGUAAACGGCGGCCGUAACGAUAACGGUCCUAAGGUAGCGAAAUUCCUUGUCGGGUAAGUUCCGACCUGCACGAAUGGCGUAACGACUUCCCCGCUGUCUCAAAUGUGGACUCAGCGAAAUUGAAUUGUCUGUGAAGAUGCAGACUUCCCGCGGUUAGACGGAAAGACCCCAUGCACCUUUACUAUAGCUUCGCACUGGCAUCAGGAUUGUGAUGUGCAGGAUAGGUGGUAGGCAUUGAAGCAGGAACGCUAGUUCCUGUGGAGCCAUCCUUGAGAUACCACCCUUCGCACUCUUGAUGUCUAACCGCGGCCCGUUAUCCGGGUCCGGGACCCUGCGUGGUGGGUAGUUUGACUGGGGCGGUCGCCUCCCAAAAAGUAACGGAGGCGCGCGAAGGUUGGCUCAGAGCGGUCGGAAAUCGCUCGUUGAGUGCAAUGGCAGAAGCCAGCCUGACUGCAAGACUGACAAGUCGAGCAGAGACGAAAGUCGGCCAUAGUGAUCCGGUGGUCCCGAGUGGAAGGGCCAUCGCUCAACGGAUAAAAGGUACGCUGGGGAUAACAGGCUGAUGAUGCCCAAGAGUCCAUAUCGACGGCAUCGUUUGGCACCUCGAUGUCGGCUCAUCUCAUCCUGGGGCUGGAGCAGGUCCCAAGGGUACGGCUGUUCGCCGUUUAAAGAGGUACGUGAGCUGGGUUUAGAACGUCGUGAGACAGUUCGGUCCCUAUCUGCCGUGGGUGUAGGAUACUUGAGAGGAGUUGCCCCUAGUACGAGAGGACCGGGGUGAACGUUCCACUGGUGGACCAGUUGUCGUGCCAACGGCAGUGCUGGGUAGCUAUGAACGGACAGGAUAAACGCUGAAGGCAUCUAAGCGUGAAGCCCCCCUCAAAACAAGGUAUCCCUUGAGAGCCGUGGAAGACCACCACGUCGAUAGGCCGGAGAUGUAAGCACAGCAAUGUGUUCAGUUGACCGGUACUAAUGGCUCC